rnacentral:lncRNA from 1 species
AAGAAUCCAAGGAAUCUCUCCUCUACUGGAGUAUUUUUUUUAAACCGAGGCGGAAAUGUUCCGCUUUUAUAUUAAGAAGAAGAGAAUUGACCCAGUUUAUAGGUAAACCGGGCCCGAAAUCCUUACAAAUACACGGUUAAUUAAGAAGAACCGGCAAAAUCUCCACACGGAAGACACGAGGCCUACUACACAACCAACCACAACAGCGAAGCCCAACAUAGGAUGCCUCAGCCGCGCUAAACACAAGGCGACACAAACGGCUCCAACCUUGCAAAAGAGGUGUUAUCGUUACCGAGUUAGCCAUCCAAGCGAACCAGCAGCGCCGACUUCACAGCUGCAACGACAUUGUUGCCAGCAUGCCAACCAAGCAAAUAGCAGCUUCAACAACCUACAAAAAAACAUCAGCCAAGUCACCAAAGAGCCACACCAAAGAGCCACUUCCUUCACUCAGCGAGCACUCCACUGGAGUAUUGAUUUUUACGGUUCAACCCUUCGCAGAUUCCCACCCAGUGAGACCGAGACAGAGGGAGGAAAACGGAGGACCGAGAAAACGAGACGCAUCUUGGCGUGUGACGAUGCAUUCGCGCGCGAUCCACAGCAAACAGUCAAAAGCCUCAAUGGCAUUCCGUGCUUUCACCUUGACUGCCUCAACCACAGUAAAUUUUGCUUUGCAUUUUUUCCCGUUGCAGUUCCUCUGUAUUGAAAGGUUCUACUACCCACUACCCUGUUUCGUAUUGCAAUUCAUGGGAUUUCUAAAUUAUAGAAAUAGAAAAAAAUAUAGAAAUAUAAUAUGAAUGCAUGUAUAAACAUAUAAGAUUGAGAAACACAGGAAUUUUCUCUCUAGCAUUGUGAAAAUGAGAUUGGAAUGGAUUCUUUUUUUCCUAUGUUUUUCUCUCAAUAGUGGAGAGAUAGGAAAUUUUUCUAUAUUUUUCCUUAGGUGCAUUCAUUUGAAACAAACGUCGCUAUAGUAUACAGUUCACAAGAUUUUAUACUCCUAUACGUUUCCUUUGCCAAUCCUUUAAAACGAAUAGGCCAUAAGAUUUUUUUAGUAUUGUUUAAAUUCAUCAAUUGAUGAAUGUAUAUAAUUUAUAUUUAUGUCUAUAUUCUUAGCAUCCAUGUGAAUCUAGACAAAUCUAAAAAGUCUUACAUUGUGAAAGAGAGAGUAUUUAAUAUCAGAUUUGACUCAUCCUAUAUGGCAAUAUUCUUAGAAUGGAUAAAAUCUUAUCUUACAAGUGAUUGCUACAUCUAAUUCAAUAUUAAUUGAAAGCUAACAUAUAAAAUACACUCCCUCUAAUACACUGGCCCGAUAUACUAAAAAAGAUUAUAUAUUCAGUACUCUCGUUAUUAUAAUAAAACUACCUAUAUCAUUGUUGCGAAUCUUUUAAAAAUUGUAGUUUUGCACUACCAUAACUUAACUACGUGGUUAAAUUUUGUUAAAGCUGUAUCCGUGUUAUAAUGUAGUUUUAUGAUUUUGUAAGGAUAUUUUCUAUCUCCUAAGCUAACCAAUAAUUUAAGUAACUCUUUUACUUAUAUAUUGAAUCACUUUUCUUUUCACAAAUAAUAUGAAACUAUUCAACAUCGUGUUUUUCGCUAAAUACAAUCAUAUCUUGUCUGUAUCACAUCUAUGCGAUGAGGACAGUUGAUCUAGAUUGAAUCCACGCUCAAUACACCUGUAUAAUUUGUAUCUAACACAACGUUUGUGCGAGCUAUUUCUAAUAAUAAACCAUAAGAAAAUAAAACGUAGCAACUCAAACUAAUAUAUCAAUAAAACUUGUACAUCUAUUUUUAGUGGUUUAAAGGCCCGUGUUGAAAAUUCGAUUAAAAUUCAACAACCCUUGAAAUCAAUUCUUUUAGAAAAUUCAAAUUAUUAGUUACAUGUGGCAAGCUACAUUCAAAUCAUUAGUUACAUCUGCCAAGCUAACAAACAGAGACGAGUCCAUGGAUGGGAUUUAUUUCAGCAUGAUAUUAUAGUAUAAAUUUUUUUAGCAUUGAAUAGACUUAAUAAUUUUUUUAGUGACUAGACUUAAUUCAUUCAUGUACAUGAUUUAUUUAUAUAUAUAUAUAUAUGUCUAUAUUCGUUUCGUUAGUAUAUAUAUGAAUUUUGGUAAGGUCGCAUCGUCAACCGGAGAGAGUAUAAACUUAGCAUUUGGCCAAGUGCAGAGUGGUGUGCAUGUGUGUUCAUCUACAUGGGAGCUGAGGAAUCACAAAAACUAACAAGAAAUAGGAAACUAAUAGAUCGAGGAACAAUUAAAAGAAGAAGAAGAAGAAGAGCUGUACUGAAUUUUGUUCAGGGGAAGAGAGGAUUAGGAAGAGAAUUAAGGUAGGUACACCACAUUCCACGUCACUACCACCACUCCUCACCACCCUCCUCAAACCACACCACGUACGAUCGAGAAUCAGUCGGAGCGCAUGCGGUUGAGCUGGUUGAGCGCCGGCUGGAGGAUGUUGUAGAGCACCCAGGCGAUGGCCGGCGCCACCACGAUCANNNNN